UAUAUACUAUGAUUUAACAACACAGCAGCUAUUUUUUAAUGAAUAAUAUAUACUGAAAACGAUAUGGUGAAAGAGUCGAACAUUUCUGUUACAUGGGCUAAUUAGAGGAAACACUUAAUUUGCCUUCUGAUAAACCCGUCUGGCCCAGCUGUCUCAGAUUCCAAGCAUAAUUGAACAAACUGCCGACGUGUAUCUCACGGAGUAAUUAAUCUGCCGCACGUUAAUUACAGGAAUGUGUCUGUUGGACGGCCAAAUCGUCCGCCGUAGUUGUGACGCACUUGGUUAUUUUAGGAACGUGAAUGUUAAAUGAAUGAGAGCGAAUGUGAAACCAAGUCAAUGGCAGCCCGGUUGCUGUUACACAGAUUGGCCACAAGAGGGCGGCGUUUCACCAGCAAGGGAAGCCCUGCCUGGGAGACAGGCACGUAAAAGGGGGUGUAAUUGGUUGGGCCCGCUCAGGUGAAAGCACACCUCUUGUCUGGGGACACAAAACUGUCUCCCGGUGUGUGUCUGCAGCCCAGUUGGGUCAAAAGGACAUGCAGUGCUGGGACAAACACACACAGAGGCCUCUUCACUCAUCCUUCCUCCAACCCCAACAAUCGGCCCAGAUACCUGGGAAAGAGGCCCAACGGUGACAAGGACCUUUUUCUGCUUGAAUGCCUCAGGCCAGUCCCUGGACAGAUGAGUCUGGCUGCUUUGUCACUGGAACAGGUUUUUAGCAUCAGGCCGCCAACACACACACAUCUCGUAACAGAAGACUCUUGUCUUUAAAGCUGCGAUGAACAUAAACACGAAUUUUGGAUUAUUA